rnacentral:rRNA from 1 species
UAGGGAAUCUUCGGCAAUGGACGAAAGUCUGACCGAGCAACGCCGCGUGAGUGAAGAAGGUUUUCGGAUCGUAAAACUCUGUUGUUAGAGAAGAACAAGGACGUUAGUAACUGAACGUCCCCUGACGGUAUCUAACCAGAAAGCCACGGCUAACUACGUGCCAGCAGCCGCGGUAAUACGUAGGUGGCAAGCGUUGUCCGGAUUUAUUGGGCGUAAAGCGAGCGCAGGCGGUUUCUUAGGUCUGAUGUGAAAGCCCCCGGCUCAACCGGGGAGGGUCAUUAGAAACUGGGAGACUUGAGUGCAGAAGAGGAGAGUGGAAUUCCAUGUGUAGCGGUGAAAUGCGUAGAUAUAUGGAGGAACACCAGUGGCGAAGGCGGCUCUCUGGUCUGUAACUGACGCUGAGGCUCGAAAGCGUGGGGAGCAAACAGG